CAGCACCUCAAGUGGUCAGGAUGAUUAUUGGGCCUAAAGCAUCCGUAGCCGGCGCUGUAAGUUUUCGGUUAAAUCUGUACGCUCAACGUACAGGCUGCCGGGAAUACUGCAGCGCUAGGGAGUGGGAGAGGUAGACGGUACUCGGUAGGAAGGGGUAAAAUCCUUUGAUCUAUUGAUGACCACCUGUGGCGAAGGCGGUCUACCAGAACACGUCCGACGGUGAGGGAUGAAAGCUGGGGGAGCAAAUCGGAUUAGAGACCCGAGUAGUCC
rnacentral:rRNA from 1 species